AAAAUGAUUUUAUCUUGUCCUUACAGAAACAUUUGGAAAGGAGUUUCAGACAGAGUGGGCUUCUAGCCCUGGCUUACUAAAAAGAACAAGAGUUACCACAUAAUGUGUACAAGCGCAUGUAGAGUAACACUAUAUACUACCAAUUUUCAUAUGAAAAGUCACCGAGGAGAAUGACUGAUGGUUCUCCAACAAAGAAAAUGAAAGAAAAUAAUGACAAGGGUGUACAAUUUCAAACCAAAUAUAGGGUAAAGUCCUUUCAGAUGCAAACUGAAAUGGAUCUGACACUGUGAGCAGAUCAUUCCAAGAAUCUUUUUCCUCCCCUUAAACUGAAGAAGCCAUGUAUCAGGGGGCUGAAAG